rnacentral:tRNA from 1 species
GGGGUUUUGGUUCAGUGGUAGAACGCUUGCCUAGCAUGUAUGAGGCAUUGGGUUCAAUCCUCAGCACCACA